rnacentral:rRNA from 1 species
GAUGAACGCUAGCGGCAGGCUUAAUACAUGCAAGUCGUGGGGCAGCAGGUUUGUAGCAAUACAGAUGCUGGCGACCGGCAAACGGGUGCGGAACACGUACAGAACCUUCCUUUGAGCGGGGAAUAGCCCAGAGAAAUUUGGAUUAAUACCCCAUAGUAUAAUGAAGUGGCAUCACUUUAUUAUUAAAGAUUUAUCACUCGAAGAUGGCUGUGCGGCUGAUUAGGUAGUUGGCGGGGUAAAGGCCCACCAAGCCUGCGAUCAGUAACUGGUGUGAGAGCACGACCAGUCACACGGGCACUGAGACACGGGCCCGACUCCUACGGGAGGCAGCAGUAAGGAAUAUUGGUCAAUGGAGGCAACUCUGAACCAGCCAUGCCGCGUGGAGGAUGAAGGUCCUCUGGAUUGUAAACUUCUUUAUAUGGGACGAAAAAAGGCUUUUCUAAGUCGUCUGACGGUACCAUAUGAAUAAGCACCGGCUAACUCCGUGCCAGCAGCCG